rnacentral:rRNA from 1 species
UACGUAGGGGGCAAGCGUUGUCCGGAAUCAUUGGGCGUAAAGAGCGCGUAGGCGGCCCAGUAAGUCCGCUCUGAAAGUCAGGGGCUCAACCCCUGGAUGCGGGUGGAUACUGCUGGGCUAGAGUCCGGAAGAGGCGAGUGGAAUUCCUGGUGUAGCGGUGAAAUGCGCAGAUAUCAGGAGGAACACCGAUGGCGAAGGCAGCUCGCUGGGACGGUACUGACGCUGAGGCGCGAAAGCGUGGGGAGCGAACAGG